CCUACGGGGAGCAGCAGUGGGGAAUAUUACGCAAUGGGGGAAACCCUGACGCAGCAACGCCGCGUGAGUGAAGAAGUAUCUCGGUAUGUAAAGCUCUAUCAGCGGGGAAGAAGGAAGACGGUACCCGACUUAGAAGCCCCGGCUAACUACGUGCCAGCAGCCGCGGUAAUACGGAGGGGGCAAGCGUUAUCCGGAUUUACUGGGUGUAAAGGGCGUGUAGGCGGGACUGUAAGUCAGAUGUGAAAACCACGGGCUCAACCUGUGGCCUGCAUUUGAAACUGUGGUACUUGAGUACUGGAGAGGCAGGCGGAAUUCCUAGUGUAGCGGUGAAAUGCGUAGAUAUUAGGAGGAACACCAGUGGCGAAGGCGGUCUGCUGGACAGCAACUGACGCUGAGGCGCGAAAGCGUGGGGAGCAAACAGGAUUAGAUACCCCAGUAGUC
rnacentral:rRNA from 1 species